AGAUGUUAGGGGCUGUUUCCUGCCAGCAGCCAGCAGGAAUUCCACAGCAGAUAUUCACCAAGGAAGGAUCCAGCCUGCUGAGUGGCUCUUGGACACAUGUGCUUCCCUGGGAUCGAUAGGCUGGAGUAAUAUAUUGCACCGAGAUAACAAAUCACUUAGCUUAUUGGGUCUUAAUUAAGCCUCUUUUAUCUCCAUGACAGCCACACACCU
rnacentral:lncRNA from 12 species